rnacentral:rRNA from 1 species
UCAAAGCUAGCCUAUAUAUUAAUUCAACUAGACCUUAUAAAUCUAAUCUAUAUUACAAUUUUUAAUCAAAACAUUCUUAACCUUCUAGUAUGGGUGACAGAACAAUAACCCCAGCGCAAUAGCUUAUGUACCGCAAGGGAAAGCUGAAAAAGAAAUGAAAUAAAUCAUUAAAGUACUAAAAAGCAGAGAUUAUACCUCGUACCUUUUGCAUCAUGAUUUAGCUAGAAAAACUAGGCAAAAAGACCUUAAGUCUAUCUCCCCGAAACUAAACGAGCUACUCCGAAGCAGCAUUAUAGAGCUAACCCGUCUCUGUGGCAAAAGAGUGGGAAGACUUCCGAGUAGCGGUGAAAAGCCUACCGAGUUUAGUGAUAGCUGGUUACCCAAGAAAAGAACUUUAGUUCUGCAUUAAUUUUUCACUAUCUAGACAAGACUUACUCGUCAAAGAAAUCUAUAAGAAUUAAUAGUUAUUUAGAAGAGGUACAGCCCUUCUAAACUAAGACACAACUUUUUAAGGUGGGAAACGAUCAUAAUUAUUAAGGUUACCAUCUCAGUGGGCCUAAAAGCAGCCACCUGUUAAGUAAGCGUCGCAGCUCUAAUCUAAUAAUUAAACCUCUAAUUCAGAUAUCCAUUCACAACCCCCUUCAUCCUAUUGGGUUAUUUUAUAUUUAUAUAAAAGAACUUAUGCUAAAAUGAGUAAUAAAGAGAAUAAAUCUCUCCCGACACAAGUGUACGUCAGAAAGAAUUAAAUCACUGAUAAUUAAACGACCCCAAACUGAGGUCAUUAUAUCACUUAAACAUCAACUAGAAAACCCUAUUCUCCUACUCGUUAUCCCUACACAGGAGUGUCAUCAGGAAAGA